rnacentral:rRNA from 1 species
UACGUAGGGGGGCUAGCGUUGUCCGGAAUCAUUGGGCGUAAAGCGCGUGUAGGCGGCCCGGUAAGUCCGCUGUGAAAGUCCAGGGCUCAACCCUGGGAUGCCGGUGGAUACUGUCGGGCUCGAGUCCGGAAGAGGCGAGUGGAAUUCCUGGUGUAGCGGUGAAAUGCGCAGAUAUCAGGAGGAACACCAAUGGCGAAGGCGAGGUGCUGGACCCUUUCUGACGCUGAUGCGCGAAAGCCAGGGGAGCAAACGGG